GCGCGUGGGUGCGCCGGCCCUUGCAGCUGGGGACUCUGGAGGCAGACCUUGCCCAAAGCCAGAGGCAGGAACUCCCCAGAUCCUCCCAGGGUAGGGAGCUGGCUCACAGGGAAGGUGCCUGGGGAGGGGCCGGGCGGUGCUGUCUCCUGACUCCGCCCAGGCAGCCCCGCCGCUGCAGCCGGCCUGGGCUAAGGUGGGGAGAAGACACCAGCACAGGCAGGGAGCAAGAGCCCCCAGCUGCUUCCUUUCAGGCAGCCGCCACAGAGGACCCAGUUUCCCUUCUCUCUUCUCUAUGCAGGUAGCAUGGGAGGAUGCCGCCUCCUCCAGGAAGCUCUCUAGCGCUUUUCCGAGUCCUGGAGCCAGGCGGGACUUCUCUGUGGUCGCCUAGAAGGAGACCAACAAUUGUCAGCACAGCAAAACUGGGCAUUUCUUUUCUUACUGAGCUUUGCAGCUACCUACACAGUUGUGUGUGGCAUCUCCUCCUGGGUGCAAGGACAUGAGAUGACAUCAGGUGGGUGCAGGAUCUAUCCUGGCUUAAAAGCCUAUGCCCCAUGGACACCAAUAUCUCUGGUAAUAAUUUCAUGGACAACUUUCAGGGUCCUGGUUGAAAUGGAUGACUUACCUUUCUUAAAUGUCAUCUUAAGUGGAUGACUUAACUUUUUCCAGUCCACUAUCAUGGUAUGCAUUUUGUGUAUAUGUGUGU
rnacentral:lncRNA from 1 species